rnacentral:tRNA from 1 species
GGCCCUUCGCCUAGUGGCCAAAGGCACCGGGUUUUGACCCCGGCAUCCAAGACUCGAACCCUUGAGGGGCUGCCA